UUCUGUCUGCUUUAUACUUACACAAAUGCUGACACUUUGUAUAUAAAAGAGGGAUCAAACACGACACUAAUUUGUCCAUUCAAAUCAACAAUUCACAAAGCACAAUGGGUUGGACCAAAAUCUCAAACAGCUUACAGUGAUGGGUCACAUCUAAAGAAUACACUGACUAAUUAUGAAAAACUACGUAUUACUGGAAACAAUAGAAUUGGAGAAUACAAUUUGGAAAUCAACAACUUUUCAGCUGCAGAUGAAGGACACUACCGUUGUAAUAACAUUAAUGGUUCCACAGCCGUACAUGUCGACUAUUAUUUAGAAAUUUACAGGUCACCAAGCAAUAUAUCAGUGAUGAAUACUUCGACAGAUGGACUUCUAGAAGUAAAUGAGGGUCAAAGUAGCCUGCUAUCAUGUACUGUAGAGAGCGGUAACCCUGCUGAAAAUAUGAUGUGGGUACAUAAUGACUCAAUACUGGUUUUUGGAGGACCUAAAUUUCUUGAGUAUGAAUUUGUUCCUGUGGUUGCCGACCAUUUACAAAUCUAUGUUUGUUUAACUAACAAUAGUAACACAGAAGCUACAGUUGAAUACCAAGUCCAAAUUUACGUGAAAGAGCUACCAUAUACAACUAUUCAACCUAUUGGUUCUACUGUAAUUGAAGCUGCUAAAGGGAAAGACAUUGUUUUGAAAUGUGAAUAUACAACUUACGUCAAGCCGUAUA